CGAAAGCGAGUCUUAAUAGGGCGUCUAGUCGCUGGGAAUAGACCCGAAACCGGGCGAUCUAUCCAUGGGCAGGUUGAAGGUGAGGUAAUACUCACUGGAGGACCGAACCCACUUAUGUUGAAAAAUGAGGGGAUGAGCUGUGGAUCGGAGUGAAAGGCUAAUCAAGCUCGGAGAUAGCUGGUUCUCCUCGAAAACUAUUUA
rnacentral:rRNA from 14 species